ACUCCUACGGGAGGCAGCAGUGGGGAAUAUUGCACAAUGGGCGAAAGCCUAAUGCAGCAACGCCGCGUGAGGGAUGACGGCCUUCGGGUUGUAAACCUCUUUUAGUAGGGAAGAAGCGAAAGUGACGGUACCUGCAGAAAAAGCACCGGCUAACUACGUGCCAGCAGCCGCGGUAAU
rnacentral:rRNA from 1 species